GUCAUGAUUCCAGCCCUUCAGCUCUGGCUUGGCUGUGCUGAUUGCUCAUUGCCCUCACCUGCACUGAGCUGGUCCCUACUUAAACAGCUGCUCGUCACCAGCUCAGUGCGAGAUCGUCUGUUGCCCCUGUCACAGCCUUCAAGCCUUGUCUCAUGUUUCAAAGUGUUUUCUGGUUUCUGAUCCUGCCUGUUUUUGACCACAGAUUUUUGCCUUAUCCUUUUGCUGUUGAAAGUCCUGUUGCUGAACCCUGCCUGUUUCUGACCCUGCCUCCUGCCUUCUGGAUUCUGGAUUUUCACUGCCUGAGACCCUCCCGUGCAUGACCCUGGACCGUUUCACGACUCAGCCUCUGAUUUUUGCCUUAUCCUUUUGCUGUUGAAAGUCCUGUUGCUGAACCCUGCCUGUUUCUGACCCUGCCUCCUGCCUUCUGGAUUCUGGAUUUUCACUGCCUGAGACCCUCCCGUGCAUGACCCUGGACCGUUUCACGACUCAGCCUCUGGUUGGUGGAUUUUGCCCCUGUCGUCUGUUUGUCCCCUGAAACCCCCACAGCUCUCCCCUUGUCCAUUCACCCUCCCCUCCCCCGGCUGGACUCCUGACCCCUGUGGAUUCCUCGUCCCUGACCCACUAGUGUGACCACAUCCUUCUACACCAUUUACUUUAGUAAUAAAACUUUUUGGUUAACCAUCCUCUUGUUGUGGCUGCGUUUUGGGUUCUGGCUGAUUCUGCUUUUACCAUUACAACAAUAUCACAAAUUUUUAA